CUACGACAUGUUGAUUUAGUUUAUUUUUUAAGCCAAGUUAAAUAAACAAGUCGUAUGC
rnacentral:pre_miRNA from 1 species